rnacentral:rRNA from 1 species
ACUCUAUCGAGACCGACGGCGACAAGCCGUAGGAAGGUGGGGGAUGAUGUCAAGUCAGCAUGGCCUUUAUAUCCAGGGCUACACACGUCCUACAAUGACCGGUACAAAGGGAAGCAAGACCGCGAGGUGGAGCAAAUCCCAAAAAGCCGGCCUCAGUGCGGAUUGCAGUCUGCAACUCGACUGCAUGAAGUUGGAAUCGCUAGUAAUCGCAGAUCAGCACGCUGCGGUGAAUAAGUUCUCGGGUUUU